CCAAACACAAGAUGAACGAAGUGUCUGAGAAAUGUCAAGCAAAGAGGAGGAAAAAGGACAACUCACUGAAGAUGGAGGAAAAGGAAAGGGACUCCGGGCACAGUAACCUCCCUGUAAUCAGAUCUCAGGUCAUGUAACGACACUGUAAGGGGAUCUCGAGCCUUUUAAUACCUUGAGCAGCGCGACCGCCCUGUAAGCAGGGUCCAGGUCUGUGCUGUUUUGUCCUUUUGACAUUGUACUCCGUUAGUGGGCUAGUGAGAGUGACUGCCCUGUAAUCAGGGUUCAAGUCACACACACACCCCCUCACGUUCAAGGGACAUUGAGCUCUUUGGUAACUUGAGCAGUGUUUGAGUCCUGACCCUGUAAUGAAGGGAUUGUUUGUGUCCUUCUGCCUUCUGGGGGAUAUUGAGCUCUGUGGAACCCUGAGCAGUGUGACCGCCCUGUAACUAGGGUCCAGGUCUUUGCCACUUGCUCAUUUGGCAUUACGCCGUACACUGGCCAAAUUGUCAGCUUGUCAGCCCUGUAAUCAGGGCACAUGUCACAAAUAUCUAUAGAAUGGGACAUAUUGAGUCCUUUGGUACUUUGAGGAGUUUGACCUUCCUGUAAUUCAGGUUACGGUCUCUGCUAUAUGGCUAAUCUCAGUGACCGCCCUGUAAUCAGGGUACAGGUUGCAUCUCUCUUUUGAAAUCUUUGGAAUUGGAACCAUUUCAGUAACAUGGGCAGUUUGACCUCCCUGUAACUAGGGGUUGGUCUCCGAGGCCCUUUGGGUCUCUUGGCAUUGUGCUUUCUUCACAGCCUGAGAUGAGUGACCGCCCUGUAAUCAGGGAUCUGGUCUUUGCCCUCUAUUCCCUUGGCAUGAGGUCAAGUGCAGCCCACUGAUAUGUAUGAACACCCUGUAAACAGGGUACAGGUCUCAUCAGACACUAUUUAUGGUGCCCCCAUGAGACUGUGUCCAGAGUCCUGGCCCUUCGCACUGUGCUUCCAACUUGCCUGGAAUUGUGCAGCAAAGUCUUCUACUUUCUGCUCUGCUUACUGUGCUCUUGGAGAUCCGACAUCCUGCUGCUGUUGAUGAAUAUGAAAUAGCAUUGCACAUCUGCUAUAACUGUCUUGGACACUUUUUAUAUCUUCUAAAGGAGAAUGGGACAAAACAGAAGCACCCAAUCGAAAAAUGAGAAAAGAGAUGCUAACAGCCUGUGAAGGAGAAAGGAAACAAAUUCUGAGAGCAAAGUAUAGUUGUGUGAUCUAUUUCAAAGGUUUUAUGCCAUGUCCAGCACCAUGGUAUAGAGUGUAUUGGAAAGAUAAAUUGAACAAAGUCACUUGCAUCUGUCACCUUUCAAAUGCUAAUUAAUGUUCAUAGGCAGUAUAUAACAAACUGAAGCUCGAUUACUUGUGGCACCACAAAACUGAAGAGUGGUGAACAGUUUCCUUCUACAGCCUUUCAAUUCAUA